AGGACUGCAUAUCCCUGUCUGCCUGAAGUCAGGUGUGACCACAUGACUAGCUUGGCCAAAGGAAGCACAUCAGCUCUGGCCAGUGCACAGUUUGGCAUACUGUCUUGCUCUAGAGAGGUGGAAGCUUGUGCUGAGAGGAAGCCUCUGUCAGCUGGGUCUCUGAGUGACUGAUGAGCCAAGUUCUUCUAUUGGACUGGGCUGGACAGGCUGGGUGGAUAAGAAGUAAACACUAUCUUAAUAGCCACUGCGAGUUCAGGGCUACUUUUCAUUGCUGUAUGAUGCACCUGUCCUGGUGCAUCUCCUUCAGUGACCACCAAGUUUUUGAAGGAGAGCCUGGCCUACGUUUUGAAAGUGUGGCCUUGAGUAUCUUAUAUAGACCAGCACACUUUGGAAGGCAAGGAACACAGCUGAGAAGUGAAGAAGUUCAAAUGCUGGAUUUCCACCUCCUUCUUUUCUGGAAAGAUUAUUCUUAAUCUUUAAAAUAUAGCAAAUAGUGUGAGAUUUGUGAAUCCCUCUGAGAUUUAGACUCUCACUGUGAGACUAAAAUCAACUUGUUACUUGUUACUUUUUGAGAUGAAUCACUCUUUAACAGUUAUUUAUUUACUAAAUGCCCAGGACUAUGAACUGUGUCUGAAAGUAUGAAUUACAAGUUUAUGUUGAGUCACAAACCUCUGACCGUCGAUUUUUGGUUGCAGUAUUGUGUCUAGAAUGUAGUGGGCGCUUGCUAAAUGGUAUGGUGAAUGAAUGUCCUUUCAUUAACCUAAUAGUAAAAACUCACAGACCCUUUACCUGUUUAUUUCUCACUUGGACAUUGAUCAUCUUGUCAUUUUGUUUUAUAGCUUGCUGUUGAUGUGUUAGUCCCUCUGACUAAAAUUUUAACCCUUUUAUGCAGGAACUAGGUCAUUUCAUCUCCAAGUCUUCCAGUGACGGUGAACUUAAUUUCUGCACCCAACUGGUACUCAAUAAAUGCUCGCUGAAUUGAGUUAGGUGAUAAAUUAGUGUUGUUUUGAUGCCAAGGAUACUGCAAUGUGUCCUGAAAUUAUAAAUGAAUUCCACUUGAACUGACUCUUAAUUCUCAACUAAAGCUCAUUCAUGUUUCUCUGGCAGAAACUUCUCACCUUGGUCAGUACAGUCCCUGAGGCCUCUCACAUGGGCAAACUACAGCAGCAGUCUGAUUUUGUCUCCCUUUUUCCAGCAAUAAAAUUACAAUUGCCCCAGCUCCUCAUUUACAAAGUGCUACAGGACUCCUCUGCCCCAACCAGUAGGAUCAAAGCAGCUAUCAGUGAAUUUGCAUAUGUCUAAAACGUCUGAGGAACCAGCCGACCAAUUUGCAUGAAAAACUCACCUUCCUGGAACUUCAGGAUAGGAGGAAGAUAAAUGAGAGAUGUGGGAAAGGUCCCUUGGAAUACAGAUAGCUGUGAGCAACUGUUCUGCAACCUGAGCUAAAGAAGUUGAAAGAAGAUUUUGAAAGCAGAGAUAAUAAUUUAUUUGUUUCUACCUGGAUGUUGUCAACUGAAAAAAAAAUACACAACCUAAAGCUGAGAAUUAUGCUACCUCAGCCCAGGAGGUAGCCUCUCAGUUCUGAGAGGCUGUUCUGAAUAUGUAAGGGAGAAGCCAGGAGAUAUAGGAGUUUUUGCCAACAAAACAAAACAAAACCCCAAACUCCAGGUGGGGAUAAUUGUUAAGGUGAACAAGAAGUGAUGUGGCAUUCAACCAAGAAGCACGAGGUUGACUAACUUUUCCUCCUUUACAUGGGACUGUCUGGUUUUAAAACCAAAAGUCCCUUAGCAAACCAGGAGCCUCCUCCAGUCCUGGGCAAACCAGGACAGUUGGCUACCCUACUAAAACUCUCUCCUCCAAAUGCUGGGAAGUAAUGUCACCCUCUUACCUAGAAGAGUGAAGACAUUUUGAAGAGCUGUUUUUGGGCCUAACAGGUAAAACAUACUUGUUCUGUUUCUUGCAUUUGCAAGAGUCAGUGCAGCAGUGAGCAGGAAAAAAAAAUUAGGACUACAGACUAAUUUAAAUGUUGAACUUUGGGUGUCUCAAAGUAGAACAGCAAAGGCCCAGACUAUUGGUCUUUUCUGGGAAGGGGGAUAGGUAGUUCAUCAGAACCACAGUGUAGCUUGGCUGGUAAAUUAUUUACAAUUUGUUUUGUGGUAUUUAUGCUA